GGUGGAAAAGAGUUGAACUAAGGAAACAAAGGAGUCAUCAGGAGAAAUUAAAAAGUGUCUUGAAAGAAAUAACAAAAGCUAUUUUCUUUACAAUCAAUGAGGAUUGCAAUCCAAAUGAUUUCAACUCGUAACCCUGCUUUUCACCAUCAAGUGACCAUUAACUUGUCAACAGCAAAAGUCAAACAAAUAGUAUAAAUUUCAAUGUUAUGACGAGCAGAAAUCAAUCAAUUUUAAUGUCAAGAGACGCGUGGACUAAACAAGCUGAUGACAAAAUCUGGUACCAAAUCAGUAUUAACAGGACAGGAUUUUGAAAACAACAUCACCAUGUUUGUUACUUGGAUAUCAACACUCGGUACAUGCAAUCCAAUAUAUCAAUUGCUGUUGGCCGUCAAUAAUAGCAACCAACCAUUAACUUGAAUUUGAUCAUUCCAAUCAAAUUGGAAACAAUGUUUAUCCAAUGGAAAUACCGGGUAUUAUACGAUCAACAAAACAUGAAUAUUUCAACGUGAGAGACAAAGUAAUACUUCAUCGCAGCCAUUUAUGUUUUACAACCAGUUUACCCAUUGAAAACAAUCAUUUCAUGCAAAUUAAGGCAAUUCAAUGCUUCUUUAAUGGUGGUUAUUAAACAAAUCCUGAAUUGUGGACCCACCGAUAAGAUUUAUUGUUUAAUUGAAAACAUCUAAUUCUGGGAAUUCAUUACACUAUUGUAAACGCUUGUUGUAUUGUAAACGGAUCAUCAUCGUAACACUAAGACAAUACAGCAAACCUUGACUUUUGAAUAAUAAUAUUUAAAAAUGCAUUGUUGACCAAUUAAUUAGUAAUUAAGAGGACCAUUAAGCUUCUCCCUUUUGACUAAAAGCAUAAUGGUAAUGUACAACCAGAGUCGUUGAGUUAUAAUGAGAAUCAGAUAGUAAGUUCAAUAUUGGCCAUUAAACAAAAAUGCGUAAAAAUUAAAA